rnacentral:rRNA from 1 species
UACAGAGACUGCAAGCGUUAUUCGGAUUCAUUGGGCGUAAAGGGCGCGUAGGCGGCGGGGUAAGUCUGGUGUGAAAUCUCGGAGCUCAACUCCGAAACUGCACUGGAUACUGCUCUGCUAGAGGGCUGGAGAGGAGAUCGGAAUUCACGGUGUAGCAGUGAAAUGCGUAGAUAUCGUGAGGAAGACCAGUGGCGAAGGCGGAUCUCUGGACAGCUCCUGACGCUGAGGCGCGAAGGCUAGGGGAGCAAACGGG